rnacentral:lncRNA from 1 species
CCCAAUUCCACCCUUGACAGCUGGGUGACCCCGGGUAAAUCAAAAAGUUCUCUGCUUUAGGUUUUUGAUCCCCCUUGGUAAAAUGGGGCUUUUUGAGAUGGACUCAUGGUAAUAUAUGCAUAUAUAUAAACUGUAAACGCCUGCUGUGUAAACUGUAAAGCCCUGUACAUGUAUUUGUUAUUAUGAUCCUGUUAUAAACUGUCUCCUGCUUAACUUUACUCAGAGUGUGUCACUGGGCAGCAGUCUCAAUGAAGCUCUCUUGCUGCACUUUGCAAGUUGAGACAAGUCCCAUAUGGUUUCUAUCAGUGCGUCUUCUCUGGAGACAUUGCCAUGACUGGCAGCUCUGCCAAACUGACUGACUCUGUCGGGAAGGGCCAAUAAGGGUGACCUUUGGUUGUCCUGAGAGUCCUGCGCCUCUGUAUUUCUGAGGAAACUCCCUCUGCCCUCCUAUUCCUCUGGCUUUCCUUUCUCUGAGCUUCCCUUCCCUCCUCUGGCGCUGGCCUCUGUCCAAGGCCCUGGGCUGGAGGUGGAACCACUCUGCUGCAACCUCUCCGUCCAGGGCGUUUUCAAGCCAGGGGACUCUUGAGCAGCUGAGAAGCCAGAAGGGAAGCAGUCCACAGAGAAGGAGUAUAAGGUGCUGGAGAGAACUGUCCGCUGAUGGCUUGGAGCCCAGGGAAGAACACAGAUUCAUAAUCUGAGGAAGAGGGAUGCACUUUGAAAAGAAGAUGAAAACCCUGUCUGCUGAGGGAUGCUGGUGGGAAGGAGGAGGGUGUGGGUGAAGAUAAGGAUACCUUAAGGAGGCGGAGAGGGGCGUGUGAAAAUAACCGCCAUCAUUGACCAUCUACCUUCUGGCCAUUGUAUCCUCACCAUCACACGAACCCUCCUGGGUGGAUUUCUAGUCGAUUGUUGCUGUUUAACAGGUGAAGACAUUUAGCCUGAAAUGGGUUUAGUAACUUCCCCACAGUCACGUGGAUAGUAAAGGACAGAGCUGAGAUUGGAUCCAGGUCUUUCUGGCACCAAGGCUGUAUUCUUUUGGCUCCACCAUGUUGGGUUAGAGAUUGGGAAAAUUAGGGGAGUUUUUACUGGAUGAUUCAUUUAUUGUUGGUGCAAUAGGUGUUGAAAUGAAAACCCACGGCUUUGAGGGGUCAGGGCACAGGUUCAUUUAAGUGGGACGAGGAGUUAGAGUUUCCCUUUUCUGGAUUAUUGUCAGACCUUUAGCAUUAACUGUGUAACUUCCUGUCUUGAGCUUUCUUCCAUUUUCUUAUUUAUAAAAUAAAGGAUUGGGUUUGCUGGACUCUGGGUUUCUAAGUACUUAGAAAAUGCCAUGAUUUGAAG